CUUUUGGUCUGAUAUGGCAGGGUUGAUUUCUUCCGGGAGAAAUGAGAACAGCCAUGGUAACAUGAGAUGAGAGGAUAAGCUGCAUUUCCAUAGGCUCUGUUUGUUUUGGGGAGUGACGAGGACUAAGAGACAAAGACUUCAUGGUGGAGAUGGGCUGCAAAAUGGGACUUGGAUCCCAAACCAUCUUCCCAGGUUUUGUGAGGUGUGGUAAUUGGCAUGUGGUUAAAGAGACAAAUGUAAUAAGAGUAAAGGAAGGCAGGUUGAGGGUGGGGUUGUAACUCUCCUUAAAGCUUGACUAACUCAUGAGAUGCUCUGCUUCCACUUUUAAGACAUGUGCGCACACAGCCACAUUGCUAAUCUAUCACUCCUGCGCCUCUUUCCUGAGCUAUUAAAGCUCAACAAGACUCGGAACCUUCUGUUCCUGUUCCCCUGCCGGCACCUUUCAUCUGCUCCACAACUGUCGGCAAAAAGCCAUUUUCUGCUUUGGAGAACAGUGGGAGGAUGCCAGUCUUAUUUAUGCACACAACGAAAGCAGAGAAUGUCAGGCUCACGUCCACACCUUCAGUCAUUCAAGAGCUGGCAGGAAACGAGCCCCAGGAGACUCCAGAGUUGCUUUGCCUGUUCCCCAAUUCACCCAGGUAAAUGUCACCUUCCAUAGGUCAACCUGCCCAAGCCCUGUUUGCUGUUUGUUUGCAAGUGAGCGGCAGUGAUGGAGAAAGCAGCCUGUGGACAAAAUGCAGCUUUGGACCUCAAGUGGGGAACAUGCAUUCAGCUAGUCCAGCCUACAUGGGUACUCACUGCAGUAGGGCUAGCACUACUUGGAGCUCUCCAGACACUGUGGAACACAACUCCCAUCAGCCCCAGACAGCAUGGCACCCCCAUCUUUCUGCCCAGAUGCUGAGGUCCAGCGCCGAGGGCCUUCUGGCAGUUCCCUGACUGCGAGAAGUGAGGUUACGGGGAACCAGGCAGAGGGCCUUCUCGGUAGUGGCACCCACCCUGUGGAAUGCCCUGCCAUCAGAUGUCAAGGAAAUAAACAACUAUCUGACUUUUAGAAGACAUCUGAAGGCAGCCCUGUUUACGGAAGUUUUUAAUGUUUGAUGUUUUAUUGUGUUUUUAAUAUUCUGUUGGAAGCCUCCCCGAGUGACUGGGGAGGCCUGGCCAGAUGGGUGGGGUAUAAGUAAUAAAUUAUUAUUAUUAUUAUUAUUAUUAUUAUUAUUAUUAUUAUUAUUUGGAAGCUGUUAAGGGAAGGGCCAUAGCUCAGUGGUGUAGGUUCCGCAUUGCAUGAAGGGGGUCUCAAUUCAAUCCCUGGCACCCGCCAGUAGGGCUUUCAAUCCUGAAGAGCCGUUGCCAGUUGCCAGUCAAUACUGAACUGGAUGGGCCAGUGGUCUAACUCAGCAUAAGGCAGCUUCCUAUGAAGGUCAAAACAUCUGGGGGGCACCACGCUGGUUACCCCUGCUCUGCAGUAUCUACACAUUAAGCCUGGAUGCCUGAGGAAUUGGCUAUUUGGAAAUUGCAAGACACACUGAUCAGAUCCACACCUCUCAGAUUAAUAUGUGGAUGGAAUAGUAUCUGCCCAUCAGAUUUGCAUUCCUUCAAAUGUUGGGAUGCAUUUCUCAGCUCAGAAAAGAGAUCCAAAGUAUGCAGCUUGAAAUAAAAUGUUUAUAAAUAGUUAUUUUGAGAUGAAUAGUAUUUAUCUCCAGGCAGAGGGCACCAGGCAGAGGGCCUUCUCAGUAGUGGUGCCUGCCCUGUGGAACGCCCUCCCAUCAGAUGUCAAGGAAAUAAACAACAAUCUGACUUUUAGAAGACAUCUGAAGGCAGAAUAUUAAUAAUAUUCUGUUGGGAGCCACCCAGAGUGGCUGGGGAAUCACAGCCAGAUGGGCAAGAAUGCAGAAAUGCAAUGGAAGAGGCUUUUUACACCCAAACACAUACACAUAUAAUUCAUGCAAAAUUGUUUAGCAUAGCAAAGCAGGGCUUUCUACCCUCCCGGUUUGCAAUGGUGUUACUCAACUCUCAGCUAUAUCACUGUUUUAUUAUUAGAAAAAUCCCCACCAGGUGACAAGGUGUAUAUAACUGGCUGUUUUAUUCCUCUGGCUCCCCAUAUUCAUUUUCUGACCCUUUGCCUUCAGGCCUGUUAAACUGUGCCACUCCUUGUUGCUUUCCUCAUUGUUGGGAGCUGGCUGCUAGCCAUGAAAGCCGGUCUCGGAAGGGGGUGAGUAUUGGUGCAGCACAUGCCAGAAAAGGACUCGAAGCCAGUGAUUAUGCCAGAUACAAUUUCCAGACUCAAAACUUUGAUGUGAGCAUUAAAACACACAUACACAAAAAUUGAGUGAACUAUUUUCACUGCCAUCUCUAGUAUCCAGUGACCAAACAUUAAUUAUUGUGCUGGCUGCAAGUACCUUGGAGCAACCUGAUGUCUGGCUUUUCAUCUACCCUCUUGAAAACUGUUUUAUGAAUCCACACUGAAAAGAAAGCAUUAGGCAAUGUAACAUUAUUUUACUGCCGACAUUCCCUUUGAUGCCUGUGUUCUGCCCAGAGACCUGUGGCCCUAACGCCCCACCUUUCUUACAUUACUGUGGCUUCAUCCUGUGGCUUCACCAGCAUUAAUUUACAGAAAUGCCGCUGGAAGAGAGCAGCUAUCGUUGCUGGUCGAUAAGAGCCAGUUACUGAAGUCUGCAAACUGGAAUCCAUCACACACUUAUCAGCAGCAAAAAGAACCAUGCAGUUUCCCGUGUAAAUCAUUUCUAUUGCUGCAUUUCAGAAGGAAUCCAAGGACAAUUCCAAAGGACCUGUUUACUAGGCAUUCGUUCUGAUUUGUUUGCAGGGAGAAUAGACUGCACUGACUACUUAAUGAGCAUUUCUUCUGAUUGUUUGUGAGGAGGUUGGAUGACACUGUGUCAAAGAAAGGCUCUAUCCCACACUUCCCAGUGCAUUCCCCUCACUGUUUUCCUUUAAUGCAAAAAGUCUGGUCUUUGGGGGAAGUGGGCUUCUUACGCAGAAGAACUAAUCAGCUUUGAUUGUACAACCUGAACUUGCUGCGAUGGAACUGAAUCCCAUCUGAAAAUAGCGGCAGUCUGGAGGUGCUGUAAACCACCUGAUUUUCUUUAAAUAUGGAGCAACUUCCCACGGUCUCAUCUGUUUCCAGAAGGUACUGUCAGAUCCACAGCCACCAUGGAAGGAAGAUGCACAUGGAGAGAAAUAGUUUUACCCCAUGCUGAAAUGUGAAUUCAACAUCUGUUUUCCCCUGCUCUCAGAAUAUAUAUAUAUAUAUAUAUAUGCCACCUUCGUCACUUGAGAGCAUCCAUGGUAAGCCCAUGCAAACAAAGAAAUCGAUGCCUAUCGAUCCCCAUGCCAGGAAUUCAUAAACUCCUCGAAAGGUCAAGGAUUGAUUUUUUCCCCUCCCUUCACUUUCUGUAAAAGAAAACAUACACACACAAAACACUUUCCCAAACCUUCCAUCUCUCACGUACUUCCCUUGCAGACAGAAAUGCCACGUGGCAUGUGCAGGCUCCUUAGAAACACAACUUAGGGGCAGGAGAAGAGUAUAUACAAAUGAUCCGUACAUGAAGCCAGACAGAUUCAAGGAAGAUGGAUGAACGAGGCCAGUCUGCUCGUUGGAGCUGUUCCUGCACUUCUUUGCCGCUCAGAUGUGGCAUCGAAAUGAGAUGGAGAUAAGAGACUCUCUUAAACUCACGGACAUACCAACACCUGGUUCACACUUUAAUCUGGUUCAAAUUGACUCAUGGCCAAUGCACAAGCUUCUGACAUGGUGAGACGCUUCCUAUGGAUCAUGUUUGUAAAAACAUGGUUCCCCCAGAGACCUGUUUUGUUCUCUUCAUAGUAACAGUUUACAGGUGGAAGACGAUGGAUAUAUUGCCAUGGCCUGCCCUAACAUUAGGCAGAGAGAGAUGACUUCAGAUGGCCCAUGGAGACAGCAGAUGCCAGAAGCCUUCUCUGAAUUCCUCCUGAGCUUUGUAGGCUUGUCUGCUGACCUCAGGUGCAAUGGAGGAGACCACCAGUGUUGCAGUAAGAUUCAACUGCCAGUGAAGUCAGAUUGUGUAUAUAGAAGGGGGAGCCAUCAUCUCAGGCAGCUAAAUGCAUUGGGACAACCCGGACUUUUGUGUUAUGAUAACAUAUACCCCUGCCUUCUCCUGGAGCCAGAGCUGACCCAUCAUCUCAGAGGAGGUGUUUGCAUUGCUAUUAAAAUGUGAGGGGACUGGCUCCCUGCUGCC